CCUACGGGGGGCAGCAGUAGGGAAUAUUGCUCAAUGGGGGAAACCCUGAAGCAGCCACGCCGCGUGGAGGAUGAAGGUUUUCGGAUUGUAAACUCCUUUUGUUAGGGAAGAUAGUGACGGUAUCUAACGAAUAAGCAACGGCUAACUCCGUGCCAGCAGCCGCGGUAAUACGGAGGGUGCAAGCGUUACUCGGAAUCACUGGGCGUAAAGAGCACGUAGGCGGGAGAGCAAGUCAGAUGUGAAAUCCUAUGGCUUAACCAGAGAACUGCAUUUGAAACUGUGAUGCGAGAGUAUGGGAGAGGUAGGUGGAAUUCUUGGUGUAGGGGUAAAAUGCGUAGAGAUCAAGAGGAAUACGGAUUGCGAAGGCGACCUGCUAGAACAUAACUGACGCUGAUGCGCGAAAGCGUGGGGAGCAAACAGGAUUAGAUACCCGAGUAGUC
rnacentral:rRNA from 1 species